rnacentral:rRNA from 1 species
CACCACCAGGAGUGGAGCCUGCGGCUUAAUUUGACUCAACACGGGAAAUCUCACCAGGCCCGGACACCGGAAGGAUUGACAGAUUAACAGCUCUUUCUUGAUUCGGUGGGUGGUGGUGCAUGGCCGUUCUUAGUUGGUGGAGCGAUUUGUCUGGUUAAUUCCGGUAACGAACGAGACUCUAGCCUGCUAAAUAGGCGUCGUCAUUUAGGUGUGCGUGGCUCCGUCACGCAACUCACUGGCGACGUAUUAAAAUUCUUCUUAGAGGGACCGGCGGCUUCGAGCCGCACGAGAUUGAGCAAUAACAGGUCUGUGAUGCCCUUAGAUGUCCUGGGCCGCACGCGCGCUACACUGAAGGAAUCAGCAUGUUCUCCCUGGCCUAGAGGCCCGGGCAACCCGCUGAAACUCCUUCGUGCUGGGGAUUGGGGUUUGCAAUUAUCCCCCAUAAACGAGGAAUUCCUAGUAAGCGCGAGUCAUAAGCUCGCGUUGAUUACGUCCCUGCCCUUUGUACACACCGCCCGUCGCUACUACCGAUUGAAUGAUUUAGUGAGGUCUUCGGACCGACACGCGGUGGCUUCGCGGCCGUCGGCGUUGCUGGGAAGUUGACCAAACUUGAUCAUUUAGAGGAAGUAAAAGUCGUAACAA